rnacentral:rRNA from 1 species
CCUACGGGAGACAGCAGUGAGGAAUAUUGGUCAAUGGACGAGAGUCUGAACCAGCCAAGUAGCGUGAAGGAUGACUGCCCUAUGGGUUGUAAACUUCUUUUAUAUGGGAAUAAAAUGUUCCACGUGUGGGAUUUUGUAUGUACCAUAUGAAUAAGGAUCGGCUAACUCCGUGCCAGCAGCCGCGGUAAUACGGAGGAUCCGAGCGUUAUCCGGAUUUAUUGGGUUCAAAGGGAGCGUAGGUGGAUUGUUAAGUCAGUUGUGAAAGUUUGCGGCUCAACCGUAAAAUUGCAGUUGAAACUGGCAGUCUUGAGUACAGUAGAGGUGGGCGGAAUUCGUGGUGUAGCGGUGAAAUGCUUAGAUAUCACGAAGAACUCCGAUUGCGAAGGCAGUUCACUGGACUGCAACUGACACUGAGGCUCGAAAGUGUGGGUAUCAAACAGGAUUAGAUACCCUAGUAGUC